rnacentral:rRNA from 1 species
AUUGAACGCUGGCGGCAGGCUUAACACAUGCAAGUCGAGCGGUAGCACAAGAGAGCUUGCUCUCUGGGUGACGAGCGGCGGACGGGCGAGUAAUGUCUGGGAAACUGCCUGAUGGAGGGGGAUAACUACUGGAAACGGUAGCUAAUACCGCAUAACGUCGCAAGACCAAAGAGGGGGACCUUCGGGCCUCUUGCCAUCAGAUGUGCCCAGAUGGGAUUAGCUAGUAGGUGGGGUAAUGGCUCACCUAGGCGACGAUCCCUAGCUGGUCUGAGAGGAUGACCAGCCACACUGGAACUGAGACACGGUCCAGACUCCUACGGGAGGCAGCAGUGGGGAAUAUUGCACAAUGGGCGCAAGCCUGAUGCAGCCAUGCCGCGUGUGUGAAGAAGGCCUUCGGGUUGUAAAGCACUUUCAGCGAGGAGGAAGGUGGUGAACUUAAUACGUUCAUCAAUUGACGUUACUCGCAGAAGAAGCACCGGCUAACUCCGUG